AUCUCAUACCAUAUGGGACGAUAUCAUUAAUGUAGCCGUUCAACUUGGUCUCAACAAACAAUAGGGUUCGAUAAUCUUGAUAUGUGAUUGAAUAUUGUACAAACGCUUCCUCAAACCAACAAACCAGCACACUUAUGCAUCGCCAUUAUCGGUUUAUUUUGCAAAUUGUUAUCUCGAUUGGAUUUCAGGUACAAGCAUUCAUCUUCGAUUGUGGUUUUUGUUUGAAUUUUGAAUAUUUUUUUUGCAAUUUUUAUGUACGAUUGCAAGUGUUUUCGAUCUUAUUUAUCUUCGAUUCUUCACAUAUGUUAAGAAAUCUCAGUUAUAUUUGUUCUAGGGUUAGUGGAUAUAGAUAUUAGAAUGAUUAAUAUUUUUGUAUUGGGUCUUCUGUUUUUUGAAGUUCUAUUUACUUGAGUUGGGCGAUAAUUAGUAUUGAAAAUUGAGCUAUGGAUAACCCUUCAAAGUUGAUUGUAUAAUAUAGUUGUUCACACCCUAUAAUAAUUUUGGAUUCGUAUAAAGCUUGUUACUUUGAAGUAUAAAUAUAGAGUACUUUCUCUUAUAUAUGAAUCGUAUAAUCAUGCGUGUUACUUGAAGUAUAUGCAUUGAGUAUUUCUUUUUAUCUAUGAUUUUUUUUUAACAGACGAUAUUGUCCACACUAAGGGGAGGGGAUGGGCUUAGUUUCACAAUAGGCUAGCAGUAAUGUGGUUCAACUUCUCUUUUGAUGAGAAUUGAAACUAAAAUCUCUCACUUACCAAUGAAGAGAAAUAUCAUUAAGACUAUAAUAUUAAGUGGCUCUUAUAUAUGAUUUGUAUAAUCAUAUGUUUGACCGUCUCUUAAUAGAGUAUUGGUGAACUGAAUGCUUUAUGUUGUUCUUUGUAAUUAUUUAUGGUCUUCAUUGGCAUGCUAAUCAUAUGCAUAUGACAGAGCGGAUGAAAACAGAGGGAAAUAAAUAUUUCAUUUGCAACUUUAGGAUCACAAAUAAGCUCUGUCUCAGCUUUAUUAUAAGGCCAAGCGAACGCCAAAGUGGUGUACUGGAUUCACACUAGUUCAUGAAAUGGAUCUUUUUUUUUAUUUUUUCAAAAAGGAGAUGUGUUAU